UAAGAUUUUAGUCAUUCUGGGUACUAUAUGCCAACUGUAUUAGUCUCAUUUUGUUACUAUCAGGAAAUAGCUGAGGCUAAGUAACUUGAUAAAGUAACAUUUAGCUCACAGUUUUGGAUGAUGAACGUUCAAACAGCAAAGCCUCUCCACUGGCUACAUCAUAUCAUGACAAGUAAUAUCAUAUAAUGGCAGGAAUGCUUGGGAAAGGAAGAGAUCAUAUUCUAGAUAAGAAGCCACAACACAACUCAGGAGUUAGGCUUGCUUUUAGAAUAACUCACUGACACAAGAACUAAUUCAGGGUCCCAUGAGAACCACUUUAUUCCCUUCUGAGGUAAUGCCACCAGUGACCUAACCAAUUCCUACUAGGUUCCACCACCUUCCACCAUCACAUUAGAGACCAAGCUUUCAAUUCAUGAACUCUUGAGGGGUAAACCACAUCCAAAUAAUGGCACUAGCUUAUUUAGUUUCUUAUCUAUCUUUUCUGUUUGUGUGAUCCUUGGUUCUUACUAUAUAGUUGGCUUGUAUAGUGUAGCCAGUAAAUUACAGUUUCAUUCCUAUGGACUUUGUGAAUAGACACUAGUUUGUUUCAACUGUUUUCUUUGUUCUGAACAGUCUGAAGAUGAUGAGAAACUGAAAAAGAGGAAGGAACGAUUUGGGAUUGUCACAAGUUCAGCUGGAACUGGAACCACAGAGGAUACAGAGGCAAAGAAGAGGAAAAGAGCAGAGCGCUUUGGGAUUGCAUGAUGAAAAAUUCUUCCUGCUUUCUGUUCUCCAGUGGUUUCCAUUUCUCUGAUUCUUCUUGGUCACAUAUAUCCCUAAAUGCACAGUCAUGUGCCUACUACAUCCUGCCUCCCAGUGAGGGAGCAUGUACCUCAGGUACAUCCGUGAACUCCAGCAGCAAUUGGACUUAAUGCUGUUCCAACUUCAAGGUUGUUGUGUUUUUGUUUUUAAUUAUUUUGCUUGUUAAUAAAAAAAAAAAUAGAAAAGAGAA